CGCUUCACAUACGCAACGGUUUCUUCCCGUAACGCUUCUUUUCUUUUAACAAAGCUUCUUUACUCCCUCUCUCUCUUUCGCAUACUUAUCUCUCUUUCAAAACUAUAUCAAUUACUCUGUAAUUUUUCACCUUUCUUAUUCCUACUGAAUUUCUCUCAUACCUUUAACUGUGUUAAUUUCUAUGAACUCAACUCCAUCUACUUUCUUUGUGCUAUUCCAUUUUUGGGGAAAUCAUAAAUAUCUGUUUAUUCACGGUGCUACUCUUUAUAUUUUUUCCUCACCAUAUAUAUACUAAUUUCGACGCCGAUGAAGUCUUCCGAAGAAACCCAUCCCCGGCCCCCGAUUUCAGGAAAAAUCGGUGGGGACAAUCAAGGAUACCAAAACACAAUCAAAAGCUUGAGGUUACAUAUUGACUGUUUCUUAAUAUGUGGUAUUAGCACUUGAUACUCAUUCUGUUAAGAUUUAAAGAGAUUGUCAAUGGAUGGAACUAGCAUGGCGAGUUCGAGCUGUAAGAAGAGGAUAAUGGAGUUGAGCUACUGUUUUAGUAAUUCUCUCAAGAGUUGGUCGACGAUUUUGUCCACAAGGAAGUCGAGAAUUUAUGCAAUUUAUUUUUGCAUUAAAUAAUUGAUUAGAGGUGGAACAUUGAGCAUGUUUUUUGCUGAUUAUUGCUUGAUUUCUUAAGAAAAUGGAUACUUUGAAGGAUGAGAAGUGAUCAAAAUUAAAGUGACUAUGCGAUUUGUGUUGGCUUUGCUUAAAAUAGAAUUUUGUGCCAUUUGGGACUGAUUGAGAUACAUAUAAUAUUGUACUAUCAAUUGUCAUCCGCGAUUGCCAUAUUAUGCAGCCUCAAUGUUACAAUAAAGUUAUGUCAAAAUUAGGCAGGAUAUGAGGCGGCAAUCAAAUGAAACUAGGGAGACAAUAGUAAUAUCUACUGUGCCACAACUAGAGGCCAUAGUGAGGUUGAGUUGCUACUCUUCUUUUGGAUUGAGACCCUUUUAUGGGGAAUGUGGACUAAUCCUUUUAAAGCCAAGUACUUGUGUAGCAUUACUCCAAUAUGAUGUAACAUCUCUUGAAAAUUAGUGGUCCCUGGCAACAAUUUUAUAGAGAAAAUUCGAUUAAAUUUAUCUUUUCGUUUUUUUGGUUUAAUUCUUUUGAAUGCGGUUGCUAAAUGUAGUCUGCAAUUUAUAUCUGUUUUUAAUA